GAUGAACGCUGGCGGCGUGCCUAAUACAUGCGAGUCGAGCGAACAGACGAGGAGCUUGCUCCUCUGACGUUAGCGGCGGACGGGUGAGUAACACGUGGAUAACCUACCUAUAAGACUGGGAUAACUUCGGGAAACCGGAGCUAAUACCGGAUAAUAUAUUGAACCGCAUGGUUCAAUAGUGAAAGACGGUUUUGCUGUCACUUAUAGAUGGAUCCGCGCCGCAUUAGCUAGUUGGUAAGGUAACGGCUUACCAAGGCAACGAUGCGUAGCCGACCUGAGAGGGUGAUCGGCCACACUGGAGCGGAGACACGGUCCAGACUCCUACGGGAGGCAGCAGUAGGGAAUCUUCCGCAAUGGGCGAAAGCCUGACGGAGCAACGCCGCGUGAGUGAUGAAGGUCUUCGGAUCGUAAAACUCUGUUAUUAGGGAAGAACAAAUGUGUAAGUAACUAUGCACGUCUUGACGGUACCUAAUCAGAAAGCCACGGCUAACUACGUG
rnacentral:rRNA from 1 species